ACUCUCCAGAUUCCUUAUUCAUCAGACCUACACACUGGUCUGGGUAGUUACAAAAGAAGGAAAGUAAAAUUGAAACUGACUUACAUUCUUCUGUUCCAAGCCUAUUUCAAACAAAU
rnacentral:snoRNA from 1 species